UACGAAGGGGGCUAGCGUUGCUCGGAAUUACUGGGCGUAAGGGGCGCGUAGGCGGCCUGCUAAGUCGAACGUGAAAUCCCUGGGCUCAACCCAGGAACUGCGUCCGAUACUGGUUGGCUUGAAUCCGGGAGAGGGAUGUGGAAUUCCAGGUGUAGCGGUGAAAUGCGUAGAUAUCUGGAGGAACACCGGUGGCGAAGGCGACAUCCUGGACCGGUAUUGACGCUGAGGCGCGAAAGCCAGGGGAGCAAACGGG
rnacentral:rRNA from 1 species